rnacentral:lncRNA from 1 species
AGAGAAGAGACAUGGAGGUGAGUUUACAGGCUCAACACAGCCCAGGCUGGCAUGGGGUGGAAGAUGGAGCCUGGCCAGACUGGCUCUCACAUUUAGAACAGCUGGAGGUUUCAGGCUCUGUGCCUUGUCCCCCUCCCUCAACUCCACCCAGGCUGGUCCAACAGGGAACCCAGGUCACUUGCCAGCUUCGUGAGUGGCAGGAAAUGAACCAGCAAUGCCUGAGCGCGUACCCAUGAGCAGACUCUGCUGGGAGCUGUCGGCAUGCUUCCUGCAUCCUGAGGAGGCUGUUAGCACUCCCAGUUUGGAGGAAAACAAAGUCCCAGAGCGGGUUUCAGGAAUGAUGAGAAAGAGAGAGGUAAAGGGUCUGACAUAGAGCAGGUGCUCAAGUGACACUUCCCAUCCUGAUGUUAGGGCUACAAGACCAGGAUCACCAUCCCCAGGGUUAUUCUGAAAUAUGCCUCCUGCACCAUGACCUGCUCUGAUCCUCACUUCAAACACUCAAUGACACCUGGAAAGUCCCCAUGCCACACUGACUCUGACCUGGCCGUGGACUCAGUUAACUCGAAGGAACACAGUACCAGUUCUGGGUCCAUGCAUAAGACCUGGCAGCAUUAGCUUUGUGCCCUUGGAAGCCAGUUGCUGUGCAGGAAGUCUGAUGGCCCUGCUGGAAAGAAAGGACCUGGAAGAUGAGAUGACAUGAAGGAAGAGGCCACGAAAGAAGCACUGAGAGCAUAAUGGACCCAGUUUCUGUCUUACUGUGAACUCUUCUGUUCUCCACUGCACACAUUUAUGGUGUUAAGAAAAAAUAAUUUAUCGGAGCCUUAUAAUACAAUACAAACAAAGUCGUCAUGGGCAUGGCCAUUCAAUAUCAACAGCUGAGACUGGGUGCGGUGGCUCACGCCUGUAAUCCCAGCACUUUGGGAAGCUGAGGCGGGCGGAUCACUUGAGAUCAGAAGUUCGAGAUCAGCCUGGCCAACAUGGUGAAACCGCAUCUCUACGAAAAAUACCAAAAUUAGCCAGGUGUGGUGGCGGGCGCCUGCAAUCCCAGCUACUCGGGAGGCUGAGGCAGGAGAAUUGCUUGAACCCCGGAGGCAGAGGCUGCAGUGCUCUGACCCCGCCAAAAAUAACUAAUUUUUUAAAAAAUACAGCAUGUUUGAAUCUGCCAAA